rnacentral:rRNA from 1 species
CCGCCCGCUGGCGGCGUGCUUCACACAUGCAAUUCGAACGGAAAGGCUCCUGCUUGCAGGGGUACUCGAGUGGCGAACGGGUGAGUAACACGUGGGUGAUCUGCCCUGCACUUCGGGAUAAGCCUGGGAAACUGGGUCUAAUACCGGAUAGGACGAUGGUUUGGAUGCCAUUGUGGAAAGUUUUUCGGUGUGGGAUGAGCUCGCGGCCUAUCAGCUUGUUGGUGGGGUAAUGGCCUACCAAGGCGUCGACGGGUAGCCGGCCUGAGAGGGUGUACGGCCACAUUGGGACUGAGAUACGGCCCAGACUCCUACGGGAGGCAGCAGUGGGGAAUAUUGCACAAUGGGCGCAAGCCUGAUGCAGCGACGCCGCGUGGGGGAUGACGGCCUUCGGGUUGUAAACUCCUUUCGCUAGGGACGAAGCGCAAGUGACGGUACCUGGAGAAGAAGCACCGGCUAACUACGUG